rnacentral:tRNA from 8 species
UGCCAGGUCGUCUAACGGUAGGACAGCGGCCUUUGAAGCCGUGAAUUGGGGUUCGAUUCCCUACCUGGCAGCCA